rnacentral:rRNA from 1 species
GACGAACGCUGGCGGCGUGCUCAACACAUGCAAGUCGAACGAUGAUCAGGAGCUUGCUCCUGUGAUUAGUGGCGAACGGGUGAGUAACACGUGAGUAACCUGCCCCUGACUCUGGGAUAAGCGUUGGAAACGACGUCUAAUACUGGAUAUGAUCACUGGCCGCAUGGUCUGGUGGUGGAAAGAUUUUUUGGUUGGGGAUGGACUCGCGGCCUAUCAGCUUGUUGGUGAGGUAAUGGCUCACCAAGGCGACGACGGGUAGCCGGCCUGAGAGGGUGACCGGCCACACUGGGACUGAGACACGGCCCAGACUCCUACGGGAGGCAGCAGUGGGGAAUAUUGCACAAUGGGCGAAAGCCUGAUGCAGCAACGCCGCGUGAGGGAUGACGGCCUUCGGGUUGUAAACCUCUUUUAGUAGGGAAGAAGCGAAAGUGACGGUACCUGCAGAAAAAGCACCGGCUAACUACGUG